CCUACGGGCGACUGCAGUGAGGAAUAUUGGUCAAUGGACGAGAGUCUGAACCAGCCAAGUAGCGUGAAGGAUGACUGCCCUAUGGGUUGUAAACUUCUUUUAUAUGGGAAUAAAACGUUCCACGUGUGGGAUUUUGUAUGUACCAUAUGAAUAAGGAUCGGCUAACUCCGUGCCAGCAGCCGCGGUAAUACGGAGGAUCCGAGCGUUAUCCGGAUUUAUUGGGUUUAAAGGGAGCGUAGGUGGAUUGUUAAGUCAGUUGUGAAAGUUUGCGGCUCAACCGUAAAAUUGCAGUUGAAACUGGCAGUCUUGAGUACAGUAGAGGUGGGCGGAAUUCGUGGUGUAGCGGUGAAAUGCUUAGAUAUCACGAAGAACUCCGAUUGCGAAGGCAGUUCACUGGACUGCAACUGACACUGAGGCUCGAAAGUGUGGGUAUCAAACAGGAUUAGAUACCCCAGUAGUC
rnacentral:rRNA from 1 species